rnacentral:rRNA from 1 species
UCAAGAUAAGAUUUCCCACCGAAAGGGUAAGACCCUAGAAAGACUAUCUGGUUGAUAGGUCGAAGGUGUAAGUGCAGCAAUGUAUUUAGCUUAUCGAUACUAAUAGGUCGAGGACUUGACCAA